GAUGAACGCUGGCGGUAUGCUUAACACAUGCAAGUCGAACGGACUCUUCGGAGUUAGAGGCGGACGGGUGAGUAACGCGUGAGAAUCUGGCUUUGGGUUCGGGACAACCACUGGAAACGGUGGCUAAUACCGGAUGUGCCGAGAGGUAAAAGAGAAAUUGCCUGAAGAUGAGCUCGCGUCUGAUUAGCUAGUUGGUGAGGUAAAGGCUCACCAAGGCAGCGAUCAGUAGCUGGUCUGAGAGGAUGACCAGCCACACUGGGACUGAGACACGGCCCAGACUCCUACGGGAGGCAGCAGUGGGGAAUUUUCCGCAAUGGGCGAAAGCCUGACGGAGCAAUACCGCGUGAGGGAAGAAGGCUCUUGGGUUGUAAACCUCUUUUCUUAGGGAAGAACAAAAUGACGGUACCUAAGGAAUCAGCAUCGGCUAACUCCGUG
rnacentral:rRNA from 1 species